ensembl:lncRNA
GGAGGAUCACAAGACGAUGGAGAACCACAAAAAGAAGCAUUAGAUUGAGAUGCGUUAGGCAAGAACAUUUCAAACCAUUAGAAUAUGAAAUUUGGGGGAAAAAUAUGUGGAACUAUGAGACUGUGAGAUAAUGGAGAGCUGAAGACAGGAAGAUGUGGAACCACUUGAAAAAUUGGGAAUUAUAAUAUGAUUAUGAAACAGAUGAGCAGAUUUUUCUAAGAAUUUAUACAAAGAACAGCAGUAGAACCUGGGUGUCUGUUCUUGGAACCACAGAGACAAUAUAUUUUAGUCAUGGUCUUUUUAAAAAUCAUGUUUUAAGGUUGUUGUUUUUUUUAAAUAAUUAUCAUCUAACCGGCCAAACUGGACACACAUGACACAACAGUUGGCCAGUUUUCAUUCUCUGAUGGUUAAAGAAUGUGUGGUACAGGUUGAUUUACCUUCAGAUUUUUAUUUUAUUUUUUUUUAACACUAAUUUUAAAAAGAACAACAGUUGAGAUUGGAGAAAGAGGGGUGCUAAUGAUUGUAUAAAUAUAUAAAUACGUAGAUAUAUAUGUAAAAAAAACAAGCAAAAAAAAACGUUCUAUAUGAUAGUGUACAUUUUGUAAAGAGAGCUCUUUGGAUGGAUUUGACUCUUUAUGUACUUUUAAACUCCUUUUAUAUGACAGAGGUUAUAAAGAUGGAGUUGGUGCAAUUCAAAGUACUUCUUUUUGUGAUAAUGUUGUAAUAAGCAGCAUUGGAACUAUUUUCUUGCAGGAAACUAUAUUUUAUAGUCUCUCAAAACCCUUUAUCUUAAACAUAAAUGUAUUUUUCCACAAAGGAAAUAUUAUUGUUUCCUGAUCAUCUUUGUGGUACACUCUGUUUUACGCAAGAGAUACCCAGUGUGUUUAUAUGACAAAUUUCUAUCCCUGACAGUGUGUCACUUCUUUACUGUAGAAUAUUACAAAUUUGCUGCAGUUUUGCACAGAUUACAAUGCUUUUGCUUUUCAAGUGUAGCUGUGAUACAACCUGC